UACGUAGGGUGCAAGCGUUGUCCGGAAUUAUUGGGCGUAAAGAGCUCGUAGGCGGUCUGUUGCGUCUGCUGUGAAAACUCAGGGCUUAACCCUGAGCUUGCAGUGGGUACGGGCAGACUAGAGUGCGGUAGGGGAGACUGGAAUUCCUGGUGUAGCGGUGGAAUGCGCAGAUAUCAGGAGGAACACCGGUGGCGAAGGCGGGUCUCUGGGCCGUAACUGACGCUGAGGAGCGAAAGCAUGGGGAGCGAACAGG
rnacentral:rRNA from 1 species